rnacentral:rRNA from 1 species
UACAGAGGUGGCAAGCGUUGUUCGGAAUUACUGGGCGUAAAGGGCGAGUAGGCGGCCUUCUAAGUCAGACGUGAAAUCCCCCGGCUUAACCUGGGAACUGCGUCUGAUACUGGGAGGCUCGAGUAUGGGAGAGGGAUGUAGAAUUCCAGGUGUAGCGGUGAAAUGCGUAGAUAUCUGGAGGAAUACCGGUGGCGAAGGCGACAUCCUGGACCGGUAUUGACGCUGAGGCGCGAAAGCCAGGGGAGCAAACGGG